CAAAAUGACUCUCGGCAACGGAUAUCUCGGCUCUUGCAUCAAUGAAGAACGUAGCAAAAUGCGAUACGUGGUGUGAAUUGCAGAAUCCCGUGAACCAUCAAGUUUUUUAACACAAGUUGCGCCCAAAGCCUUUUGGUUGAGGGCACGUCUGCCUGGG
rnacentral:rRNA from 1 species